rnacentral:lncRNA from 1 species
UUACCCUAAACAACACAGGGGUUGUGGCCCGGACUCUGUUAUUUGACAGCAACCUGGCUGAUUCUGCAAUCAAUAAAGGCUGCCAAGUGUUCUACCUAGAGGAGCUGGAAUUUGACUGGAACCCUAAGCAAGAGCUUUGCCGGUGGGGAUGGAAUGUCUGCAGUGUUACAUCAGAGUUCAGCCUUCAGAGGACUUAGGCCAAGUGGCACACCUCACUACAAAUGAGCUUGCCUGGUUUUGUGCUAUCUGAUCGUCACAAACUAAUGAAACACAUGUUAGGUCUUAAGGACACAAGUUCCACUGUUCUCCAGGUGCCCUGGCAGCUGGUACAGGGACUGUGAACAAUGGAACCAAACUCUCAGAGGACUAAAGUCCCAGCUUUCUUAUCUG